AUUGAACGCUGGCGGAAUGCUUUACACAUGCAAGUCGAACGGCAGCACGGACUUCGGUCUGGUGGCGAGUGGCGAACGGGUGAGUAAUGUAUCGGAACGUGCCCAGUCGUGGGGGAUAACGUAGUGAAAAUUACGCCAAUACCGCAUACGAUCUAUGGAUGAAAGCGGGGGAUCGCAAGACCUCGCCGGAUUGGAGCGGCCGAUAUCAGAUUAGGUAGUUGGUGGGGUAAAGGCCCACCAAGCCAACGAUCUGUAGCUGGUCUGAGAGGACGACCAGCCACACUGGAACUGAGACACGGUCCAGACUCCUACGGGAGGCAGCAGUGGGGAAUUUUGGACAAUGGGCGAAAGCCUGAUCCAGCCAUUCCGCGUGCAGGAUGAAGGCCCUCGGGUUGUAAACUGCUUUUGUACAGAACGAAAAGGUUUCUACUAAUACUAGGAGCUCAUGACGGUACUGUAAGGAUAAGCACCGGCUAACUACGUGCCAGCCGCCGCCGUAA
rnacentral:rRNA from 1 species